rnacentral:rRNA from 1 species
CAGGGUGACAGGUGGUGCAUGGUUGUCGGUCAGCUCGUGUCGUGAGAUGUGGGUUAAGUCCCGCAACGAGCGCAACCCUCGACCUUAGUUGCCAGCAUUCAGUUGGGCACUCUAAGGUGACUGCCGGCUAAAAGUCGGAGGAAGGUGGGGAUGACGUCAAAUCAUCAUGCCCCUUAUGACCUGGGCUACACACGUGCUACAAUGGGCGGUACAAAGGGUCGCGAACCCGCGAGGGGGAGCCAAUCCCAAAAAGCCGCUCUCAGUUCGGAUUGCAGGCUGCAACUCGCCUGCAUGAAGCCGGAAUCGCUAGUAAUCGCGGAUCAGCAUGCCGCGGUGAAUACGUUCCCGGGCCUU